rnacentral:rRNA from 1 species
AUUGAGUUUGAUCCUGGCUCAGAGCGAACGCUGGCGGCGUGCUUAACACAUGCAAGUCGAACGUGAACGGGGGCAACCCUUAGUAAAGUGGCGUACGGGUGAGUAACACGUAGGUAAUCUACCUUAGUGUCUGGAAUAACCUGCCGAAAGGCGGGCUAAUACUGGAUAGAGCGACGGGAAUCGUAAAGAUUCUUUCGGGAAAGGGAGCUCGAUAAGAGCCUUCGCACUAAGAUGAGCCUGCGUCUGAUUAGUUAGUUGGUGGGGUAACGGCCUACCAAGACGAUGAUCAGUAGCUGGUCUGAGAGGAUGAUCAGCCACACUGGAACUGAAACACGGUCCAGACUCCUACGGGAGGCAGCAGUGGGGAAUCUUGCGCAAUGGACGAAAGUCUGACGCAGCCACGCCGCGUGAGUGAAGAAGGCCUUCGGGUUGUAAAGCUCUGUCACCUGGGACGAAAACGCUGACGGUUAAUAGCCGUCGGAAUUGACGGUACCAGGGGAGGAAGCACCGGCUAACUUCGUGCCAGCAGCCGCGGUAAUACGAAGGGUGCAAGCGUUGCUCGGAAUUAUUGGGCGUAAAGGGUUGGUAGGUGGUCUUGUUUGUCUAAGGUGAAAUCCCAUGGCUUAACUGUGGAAGUGCCUUAGAAACGGCAAGACUAGAGUCCUAGAGGGGUUUGUGGAAUUCCCGGUGUAGCGGUGAAAUGCGUAGAGAUCGGGAGGAACACCAGCGG